GGAUGGGUGGCAGAGCGGUCGAAUGCGACGGUCUUGAAAACCGCUGAGGUGGCAACGCCUCCGGGGGUUCGAAUCCCUCCCCAUCCGCCA
rnacentral:tRNA from 1 species